rnacentral:lncRNA from 1 species
UGCCAGCAGAUCUUCUCUGCAAGAAAUGUUAUAAGAAAAUCUUCAGAGAGAAGGACAAUGCUGUAGGUCAGAAACUUGGAUCUACAUAAAGAAAUGAGGAGCAUCAGAGCAGUAAUGAAUGAAGGAGUUGGAGGAAGUUUCCUCCACUCAGACUGCAUGGAGCUGGCUGAAAUCUCUCUCUGUCUCUGCCUCUCUUGGAAACCUGUGAUCCAGUUGCUGGAACUACCUGGAUGAGACCAAGCCAUGCAGGAAGCUUCUCCUCAUGCUCUGACCAGAAUUCUCAAUGGUGCCUGGAUUUCCAAAUGCUCUGGUUGCACUCAAGGGUGUGAGGCCUGGGGCUUUUGGUUUCAAGUGAUAGAAACACAAUGCAAAGUAAAAAUAAACACGAAGCAUAAAGACGGCACACAUUGGCAUUUUCGACAGAACAGUCUGGUGAGAGGGCUCAGCCUGGGCUGACCUCAUGGCUUCUGGCUGCUGCCUCUCCUACCUUGUGCUCAGGCCCCCACCUCUGUGAGGGCAGCUCCAAG